CCGGGGACGGUUUCCAGGAUCCCCGCGGGCCGACCCAGGCAGCUCCCGAGCCGAGGCCGCCGGACGGGGCACGCGAGUCCGACUGCGGGGUGGAGACGCGAGACCAGCCGGCGAUUGCGCCCUCCGCAACGCGGUGAUCGCUGCGCGCCCGGGUGCACGAGCUGCGGGGAGGCGCAUCUCCUGCAGAUCCAGUACGCGAUUGAAUCAAGCCGCCCUGUGCGGGAUGGGCGCGGAUUCCGGCUCCCGGUGGCUCGCUGGUGACCUGAUGGCGAACGCCGGCCGGGCUUGGCCUGAGGUGAGCUCCGUUGUUCUGGUCCCUCCAGCGACGAGCAGCCGUUUCCCGCUUCGCACGCACGGAGAGGAGCUUCCCGGCUCGGGAGAAACCGCUGCUGGCGCCCCCGUUCUCGGUUGGUGUAAGCAUCCCUUGCAAGCCGCAGAUUUUCUGAGUGCAGAUUUUCGAGUUCCUCGCUAUUUUCUUUCACUGAUUUUGUUUACUUAUCCAGGAAUCUUUAUAUCUAUCUCCCCAUUUAAAGUAUUCUCCCCUACCCCAUCCGUUCCUUCAAAGAGAAAAAGAAAAAAGGAAAAGAAUGAAAAAAAAAAGAGACAAAAAUAAUUGGAUGUUACAAGGACACAGCGUGGCAGUCCUCCGAGCCGCUGCAACCUCGAGGGGACCCGGGAGGCCGGUGUGGGGGAGGGGCGCGCCUAGACUGCUCCGCACCCACUCUUCCAUUUUGAGUAACCCGGGUCCUCUAGGCUGGACUGGGAAGAUCUCAAAGUGUGAGGUCUAGCCCUCCUGGGCGGGUAGAGACAGUCAGAAAGGCACACCGGUAAUCCAUCAGCAGGUAGGCCUGCUGCUAGACACGAGAACGCAAGGUUUCUUUUCCUUCUCAAGCAAGUUUAGAAUCUUGGGGAUCAGCACCGCCGGAUCCCUAAAAGUUGGGCAUGAGGAUUUGUCGCCAACCCAGCCAUGUUCUGUGUCCACCCCCACCCCCACCCCGUUCUGUGUCGUCUCACAUCCCCAAGAGGCUACCCGAGUGUGAAAGGCCUCGACUCCUUGCUGUCCCGCUCCCACCUCUGCGUCCUCUCUAACCUCAGCAUUCACUUAAGUCUAGUGGCCUUUUUCCUCCUUCAAUACUGUUUCAAAAUAGUUGUUACAGCAAAUAGCCGCCGACGCGCCUCUGGAUGCCGCCAGAGGCUGGCAGCUGCCCAGCGCGGGCGCACAGCCCCCGGCAGUUCCACAAGACCAAAAUAAGCUCCCGUGUUCCUCUCACAGGGUUCGGCCUCCCGGGCGGGCCCGGGCAUGUCUGGCUGGGCUCGCUAUCUGCUCGGAGCAAACCAUCCUGGUUUCCUCCUUGACUUCCUGCUAUCCAAAACUAACAAAUGUUUUUCAUUUUAGAAGAACAAGGCGUGAGGAUCGGGGUCCUUCCUAGAGCAGUGCUGCGACCCUUUAAUACAGUUCCUCGUGUUGUAGUGACCCUCAACCAUAGAACUAUUUUCGUUGCUA